AAAGUCGUAACAAGGUUUCCGUAGGUGAACCUGCGGAAGGAUCAUUACUGAGCCUGGGUGCUUCGGCGCCCGACCUCCAACCCCCUGUCUACCUUACCACUGUUGCCUCGGCGUCUCUGCCCAACCCCCUCUCGUAGGGGGUUGGGGGGUGCGCGCCGGCGGCCAAAAACAAAAACCCUUUUUUAAACCCAGCAAUCUGAGAAAUUAUUUUAAUAACUUCAAAACUUUCAACAACGGAUCUCUUGGUUCUG
rnacentral:misc_RNA from 1 species